UGCUUUAGUAAUCAUUUCAACUUUGUCUUGCAGCAAUUUUGACUUUAGCCAAUACUUAUAUGUAUGUGUCUAUGAAAAAAACUGAGAUUUGAUUUAGCUGCUUACGUGUGGGCUAACUGGGCAUUUUUCGUACAUAGUGAGUUCACUUUUAUCUUAACCCUCCACUUUGUUUCUCUUAUCUCUUUUCUGUGAUGUUUAUCAUCUCUGCUUUAGGUUAUUCAUUUUUUGGCUCUUAAUUUCACCUAUCCCUUUCUUUCUCCUACUUCCUCAGUGAUGAGUUAUUCUAUGGAUUACUCUCCAUCAGUUGGAUCUGUGCUCAUUAAUAGCCGGUUAGUUCUGUUUCUAUGUGAGUUUGCUGAUUGAUAUGCUCCUUUGAAAUUCUUAGCUUACAGCUUGCCAAGAAAAAGAGUGUGUAAUCAAAGAAAUAUCUGCACUAUUAGAUACCUUGACCAAAUGUGUGGCUGAAGGAAUUCACGAAACAAUACUCGGCUAAUAGAUGAUUUAGCUAGUUCAAGGGUUAUAUACCUGAAGAUGGCCUUGACUCACUUAACUUUGAAGAAAUUUUGGGUAUUAUCUUUGCUUUGGUGAUAGUGUCAGACAACCUGAGAAGGUUAUGAGCUUCAUGCUCUAUUAUUCGAACGAGCGGGACUGUCUGCGACAGUAGUAGCAGCAUAACCGUCUUUGGCAUCAACGAAGAGUUGCUUAUAGGCCCCUUGAAUUACCAAACGAUCUUGAAACUGUCAAAACGUGUUGUAUUAGAUAAUUUAAUUUAUACUCUUUGUAAAGAACCUGAGGAAGUUUCUUUGAUCUGUUCUAAAAGAGUGUGAUGCCUUUUUAGUUAUGUGAUAUUAAAACUUGGAGGAUAUGUCUUUGAAGAUAAGACAACAUGUAAGGAUUGCAACGGACAAAAACUUAAGAUCAUACUAAGUAAUUUUCUAUACAUCUUUCAAAGAAAUGUUGUAAUACUAAAUAGUAUGAUGUUUGUCAUUAGCUCGUGUCGUGCCCGUGCGAAGCACGGGCAUCACCAUCUAGUAAUUACCAUAUAGGGGCAUACUAGACCAUUUUUUUCAUAUAUAAAUGAAGCCCUAUAGAAAAGAGGCUUCUUGCACCUCUCAUGCUUUAUUAAGCCUUCUCAAUAAUAACACAAAAGGUGAACUCGUAAUUUUAACUUUGUGUGGGCAGAGUAUCACUGUUUGACGUUUGUUACAAAGUAACUUUGUGAAUGAUAGGUGUUAGUGGAAAUAAGGGCGUCAAAUGAGCAGGUAGGGUUGAACUUGAGCGGGUCAAAAUGAAUCGAGCUAAAUAAUUCGUCCAAAAGUGUUUUUUGGUAACUAACUUUCAUUUCAUUACCAAAAUGGAACAUUACAAAACAACGAAACAUAGAGUAUUUGUUGGAUCUACAAUCCCCACAAAGCCUCCAGCCAGGUAUCAAACAAACAAAAACCUAACAUCAAGAGCACAGGUGCCAAUUUAAGCUAACAGAAACCAAGAAAAAGCAUAAGGCAUCUAAGGAUAGAAAUUAUGAUUCUCCAGCCAUCCUCCAAGCU